GAUGAACGCUAGCUACAGGCUUAACACAUGCAAGUCGAGGGGUAACGAGAGGAAAGCUUGCUUUCCUUGUCGACGACCGGCGCACGGGUGAGUAACGCGUAUCCAACCUGCCCCCAACUAGGGAAUAACCUUGCGAAAGUAAGACUAAUACCCUAUAAUUUCCUCAGAUGUCAUCUGACGAGGAAUAAAGAUUUAUAGGUUGUGGAUGGGGAUGCGUCUGAUUUAGCUUGUUGGCGGGGUAACGGGCCACCCAGGCAGCGAUCAGUAGGGGUUUUGAGAGGAAGGGCCCCCACAUUGGAACUGAGACGCGGUCCAAACUCCUACGGGAUGCAGCAGUGAGGAAUAUUGGUCAAUGGGCGGAAGCCUGAACCUGCCAAGUAGCGUGCAGGAUGACGGCCCUAUGGGUUGUAAACUGCUUUUAUACAGGAAUAAAGUUAGCCACGUGUGGUUAUUUGUAGGUACUGUAUGAAUAAGGACCGGCUAAUUCCGUUCCAGCAGCCGCGGUAA
rnacentral:rRNA from 1 species